rnacentral:rRNA from 1 species
CUGGGGAGUACGGCCGCAAGGUUAAAACUCAAAUGAAUUGACGGGGGCCCGCACAAGCGGUGGAGCAUGUGGUUUAA